rnacentral:lncRNA from 1 species
CACACACCAAGGUUUUAACAGUCUGAAGAAAACUACAGUCCUAAGGUGUCAGUUCUCAAAGCCCUUAGGUUCCUCCUGCUAAAACUCCCAGAGAGUCUCCACUUCUUGCACCGAACCCCAACUUGCACAGGCACCUGCAUCUUCCUCCUGCAGCAAAUGCAGAUGAGAAGCUGUGGCUCUGAUGCAGUAGUGAUUGGAAACUAAGAGGUGGGGAGGGUCUUUGGGAGGCCCCGCUCUCAGAACUGGGGUUGGUGUCCUUGUUGGGAGGCCUGAAGGAGCCCUCCUGCUCCUCCACCACAUGAGGCCCGAGGAGACGCCUGCUGCCACGCGAGACCCGGCGAGAUGCUGCCAUCUGUGAGCCACAGGUCCUGGAGCAGCAGAUCUGCAAGUGCCUUGACCUUGGACCUCCCAGCCUCCAGAACUGUGAGCAAUAAAUGUCUCUUUACAAAUCACCCAAUCGACAGCAGCCGGACAGAGAGACAGUCAUGUUACAACAUGAAUCACAUUCUCAGUGGGCCAGAGGCCUCCCCGUGAGCCACCAUCGUAAAGCAAGAACUCCCUGGAGGAUGGAAAGGGGUUCCCAAAGAAUUCUACCCAGCAUCAGGCCAUCUAUCCUUUCUUGCAGGAAGAUAACUGAGCCAUGGCAGGAAACUACAGGGUGGGUGGGUUUGGACAGUAACAUGUCACCUGCUCAUCUAAGCCUCAGUCUCCCACCUGUCAACACGACAGCGGGGGUAGCACCCCUCACCUGAGCUGUUGGGGGAGGUAAGAGUGCUGGGUGAUUAACAAUUGUUAGCUCCACAGAAAUUAGGCAAAGAAUCCACCGCUACGUCUUAUAAAACCAAACCAGCCCAGGAAUUCCACAUCACUACUAAUUUGCAUGGGAAAAUGCUGGAUUCUCAUAAGUUCUGGCAUGUCAUUUGUAUUAAUAAAGUUUGCAGAGUUUUCAUAUACUAAGUAUAUAAAACAGGAAAAUAAAUCAUGCAAUUUGGAGGCUGAGGCAGGAGAACCACUUGAGCACAGGCGGCGGAGGUUGCAGUGAGCCGAGACCGCACCACUGUGCUCCAGGCUGGGUGACAGAAUGAAACUCCAGCUCAAAAAAAAAAAAA